rnacentral:lncRNA from 1 species
CAUGGUGAGUCAUGUCAGGCGUGUCAUGAAAGCAGCGGUGAAUCUAGGGGAUGUGUACCUGUAUGACAGGGUCACAUGUAUCUACUGUGAAGGCGUGGAGCCUCUAAAGCCGAUAGUGUUUCCGAAGACAGAUGAGCAGAUGUCUUCAGUGGAGAAGCAAAUCAGAGAGGGCACUGAGUCACCUGCCAUAAUCCAUUUCCUGUCGGCUGCUGAAAUAAGCGAUGAUUAUCUUGCAAGGAUAUGUGAAGACGGUUAGACGCAGCUUCUUUGCAUACCAGUCGGCUGGAAUGAGUAUUGUAUUGGACUAGAAAAAAGCGGCGCAAGUCUGCAUUUCCUUAAUUUGGUGUGCUUUUUUAGUUGCAAUGCCCUGUAUAAUUAAAAUCGGUUGAAAGUGAUCGUGGCACUGUUGUCGGUGGAUUCAAGAAUUUGAUAAUCCAGUUAAAUUUGAGACCAAAGUUUCUAGAGUUAUAUUGGAUCCAGUGAUCUGUAAUUUUAGACCAAAAAUGCCAUAUUUCACGAGUUUGACUGUCAC